CCUGAUGAAUCAGCAUCGGCUAACUCCGUGCCAGCAGCCGCGGUAAGACGGAGGAUGCAAGCGUUAUCCGGAAUUAUUGGGCGUAAAGCGUCCGCAGGUGGCCUGUUAAGUCUGCUGUUAAAGCCCAGGGCUUAACUCUGGAUCAGCGGUGGAAACUGGCAGGCUAGAGUACGGUAGGGGUAGAGGGAAUUCCUGGUGUAGCGGUGAAAUGCGUAGAUAUCAGGAAGAACACCGGUGGCGAAAGCGCUCUACUGGGCCGUAACUGACACUCAUG
rnacentral:rRNA from 1 species